CUAAAAUUAUCAGUGACUUGUUGCCAUGACUAAAAUUAUCAAAUUUCAUAAAUCAUGAACUAAUGUAACUGCAAAUGUAAACAAAUAGGUGAACACACACCCAGUACAGACUGUUAUUUGCCUUUAGACUCCUAAGUCUGGUUUUUGCUUACAUUUAUAUAUCAGAUUCCUAAUAAAUUUGUUACUUUAUACAUGUCCUUCAGGACUUCAAGAUCAUUGGAUAUUAUUUCUCAUGAUUGGUACCCCCGCAUUUACCCCCUUCUUCCAGACAAUGAGAAAUAAACAUCCCAAAUUUAAAUAUGAAAUUAACUCACACACAAAGGUUUCAAGAUACUGUGUAUAAUUUCAUUAACAACUGUAUUUUAAACUACAUACAUACGGAAACCAACCUGUCACUGUUAAAAUAUUCUGCUUUGAUAACUACAUGUUUACACAUGAAGAAUUUCGUUUCCAUAGAUGUUCCUUUCACUAUACAGGCACAAUACUGAGUAUGUAUCCUUCCAUGAAAGUACAAUAAAAUCCCAAGUGAUAUUCUUUGGUCAAUACGUAAACAUUACUUAUAAUCAUUAUUAAUCAACAAUGUUUACUUAAUUCUUUAUAAAACGUCGCACACAAGCAGCUGCAUGGAUACAAAAUAGACA